rnacentral:lncRNA from 1 species
GAGAGGAUUUUUCAUGUUACCAACACAAAGAAAUGAUAAAGGUGAAAUGGCCACCAGACCCAGGCUUUCUGGAAUGCAUUCAUUUUCUGCAGUUGAAAGGGACAAUCCCGGAUCUGAAAGAAAGAGCCACAGUGACUCCAAGAGUGGAGCCAGGGCAUGCUGGACACUGCAUAGCUAUGGCCAAGUGUGUCACCUCUGAGGGAGAUGUGAGAGAAACGCAGAGGGAUCGCUUGUGACUGUGCCUUCUCGAUGUAUGAUGGACUGUUCUGCUCAAAUAAUGUAAUUUUCAACGAGAAUACAUUUUAUUGCAUUAGUAGUGCUUUUAGAAGAGACAUCAAUAUGAUGCCCAGGCUGGUCUUGAACUCCUGGUCUUAAGUGAUGCUCCCUCCUAAGCUUCCCAAA